rnacentral:SRP_RNA from 1 species
CGUACUAGGCGGGGAGUUAGCGGUGCCCUGUACUCGCAAUCCGCUAUAGCGAGGCUGAAUUCCCGCACGAGGUUUUGCAUAUAUUUGUGUACGGUGUUUAUAUGCGGCGUUGAUGAAUGGAUCCUGUGCAAUAUAAAGCUAUGAACCCUGUCAGGUCCUGACGGAAGCAGCAGUAAGUAGUCAUUUAUGUGUGCCGCAGGAAGGUCUGUUCUGAGUUGCAGAUAGAAGUGCCUGUAAAUAUGGCGAAUCGAAUGCGGGUGUACG